rnacentral:rRNA from 1 species
GCGCGAAAACUUCGCACUGUGCGAAAGCACGACGAGGGAAUCCCAAGUGCUGGCUCGUAAGAGUCAGCUGUUUCUCUGUCUAAAAAGCAGGGAGAGUAAGAGCUGGGUAAGACGGGUGCCAGCCGCCGCGGUAAUACCUGCAGCUCAAGUGGUGGCCGCUAUUAUUGGGCCUAAAACGUCCGUAGCCGGUUCUAUAAAUGCCUGGGUAAAUCGUACGGCUUAACCGUACGAAUUCCGGGUAGACUGUUCAACUUGGGACCGGGAGAGGCUAGAGGUACUCCUGGGGUAGAGGUGAAAUUCUGUAAUCCUAGGGGGACCACCAGUGGCGAAGGCGUCUAGCUAGAACGGGUCUGACGGUGAGGGACGAAGCCCUGGGGAGCAAACGGGAUUAGAUACCCCGGUAGUCCCAGGGUGUAAACGCUGCUCGCUUGAUGUUAGUCGGGCCUCCGAGCCCAACUAGUGUCGGAGAGAGUUGUUAAGCGAGCUGCCGUGGGGGAGUACGGGUCGCAAGGACCUAGGAAAACGUUAAAGGAAUUGGGCGGGGGUAGCGACCGACGG